UUCAGCCUGUUGUUUAGAUAUUUUUAUUUCAGAAAUGAUUCCUAACAAAAAUGGAGAAUAUAAAAACACAAUCAAAGCAGUAAAGUCCAUAUUAUGAAGUGUUUGCUGUAUCAGACAAUCAUGUUUCCAGUCUGCUGCAUCACAACAAUUGAAAUGCAAAUAUAAAUGAUUCACAACAAUGAAAACAAUAUAGUGCAGAUACACAUGGUGCUGUAAUGAAUCUGCUCUUAAACACAAUAACAAAAUACAUUUUCCAAGAGAGAUGAUAAUGAUUCACAUCAGAGUGAAGAACGAAUACAUUUACAACUGGUUUCUAACAUUUCUUAUAGAUCGAACUGAUCACUGAUAGAAACAGAAGAAUAUUCAAAAUGAUACUCUGAGAGAUACAUGAAUGAGAUAUGGAUAAAAUUAAAUCACAUAAAACAAAAAAGCACAUAAUCAUUAUAACUGGGGCCACCGUGGCUCAGGGGGUUGGGAAGCGUAUCUUGUCUGGGCAAGACACUUUACCCUACCGCCUACUGCUGUUAGCCAGAGGGGGCCGAUGGCGCAUUCCACCAGUGUGUGAAUGCGAGAGUGAAUGAAUUGUGGCAUUGUAAAGCGCUAUAUAAAUCCAAUCCAUUAUGAAAUAAAAUAUGAGCAGAAAUAUAGAAGAAUUAAGUGUGUGUCUGAGCUGAAAGCUGCUCUCCUCUCCUGGUUUUCUGUAUCACACAGACCACAACAACACAAAGCAUCACCUGCAGACCGCUGAGCAGUAUCCACCUGACUCUGUAGAAGGUCGAUUAAACCCCAAAGGGCUCUCUGUGGAUCAGAACAAAUGCUUCUGCUGACACACACUCAUUCUCUGACUUAUAACCUGCACACACAUACUCUCCUGCAUCUUCCAGUGAGACAUUAGAGAUUAUCAGGCUGUCACGGGAACAAGUGAUUCUUUUGUCACUGCAGAACUUAUCAUCGUACACAAUUUUGCCUUCUGUUUGGAUCGACUUCAUGAACAUAAAGUCCGAAGUACUAGUUUUCCAAUCAUCAGAGCAUCUCAUAGUGACUUCAUCUCCCUCUGAGAAAACCUUUACUGCAGGUGGACCAAAUUUAGGGCACACGAAAAGCCAGUACUGAUGUAUUACUUUUUCACCUUCACAGUAGUAGAUACCUGAAUCAUUUAACGUUAAUGAUGGAAGUACCAGCGAGAAGUUUCGACCAAUUUCUUGAUCAGCAUCGUAGGAAAUUUCCUUCAUCCAAACUGGGGGCUGGUCAUGAAUGGGGUCCAUGAAGGGACACUCCAGCACAGCUGUGUCUCCCUCUGAAGCAUAACGUAGCUUUGUUUGUUUGGUCAAACGUACAGAGUAAGUGCUCACACACUGCUGUUGGUUCAUCACCAGGCAGAUGUAAGACGUUGGUCGUGUGUUGACAUGAAGAAGUGAUGCGUUUGUCACCUGCAGGAAACUUUCUUGGACUUUAUUCACCUUCAAAAUUGUUCUGUCUUCGAAACUACUCAGCCCGGCUUGUUGUUGAGAGUAAAUGAAGGAGAACCAUGAAAUGUCUCAGGAAAUGAGAGUCGUCCUGUCAGGUCUUCAUGUACUGUGAAUUUUCUGUUCCGGGGGUCAGAGAUGUUCCACAGGACCAGAGUAUCUUCACCAACACGUCUGGAGGUGAUGCAGGAGCUGUUUUGAUCUGGGAGCUUGAACUGUAAAGAGCCUCCUUCUUUUCUUAUGGCGAUAAAUUCUUCUGCAUGAAUGUUGCUGAUGAGAGUGAACAGCAGGGAGAAGCAGAGCUGUGCGACUGCAGCCAUCCUGCUCAGAGGUCUCCUGGUGAGUGUCGUACAAGCACUGACACUGCUCGCUUCAUGAGCUUCCUGUUUGUGGUUGGAGGAGGAACGCCACUUCUUUAUCACAUCAUCAAGGAACACUUUGAAGCAUUUGGCUCGAUAUCACGCCGUAUAUCUGCUUUCACUCUUCACAAGCCAAAGUGUGGACACGUUUUUUUAUACUUCGUUGCAUGGGUCCAGGGGUAUCAAACAUGUGGUCUGGAGCACAGAAGCGGCCAGUCACAGUGUCCAAUCUGAACCAUUACAACUGUCGGAGGGGCUUUUUCAACCCAGGUACGUGAUCCAUGGUCCAAUCAGCAGCCCACUGCACUUCAGUAGAGGAACAACCUGCAGAAAUUCUUAAAACACAGGACAAAACACAAGCAGCUAACACAGACUUCUUAUGGCAACUGUUGGGAGAAAGAAGUGAUGAAAUAGAUGUCGGCUUUCUCACCCAACCAUGGACAUGCCGUUGGAAAGCUGACAGCUCACAGAUUCUGAUGACGGGUCUACACUUUGUGUUUACGUCUUUUUUUGCGCUAGAUUCUGAAGCUGCAGGUCUUAUCACUCUCCAACCAAAAUUAACUGAACCAGCAGCAAAAGAAGAUCCCAACUACAUUUCACAAUUCGCGUCACAUAAACACCGUCAUGAAUUCCCUACGUUAAGAAGUGGCUCGGCCUUCCAAAAUGCCUCCGCAGCGCUAGACUCUACAGCGACGGGAUACUGUCAUUGCCCAUUGCUAGUCUGGUAGAGGAGUUUAAAUGUGCAAAAGUGAGGCUUGAGAUGUCACUCAUGGACUCCCGGGACCCCAUAGUGAGAGGCACUGCUCCCACCUUGGAAAGGGGAGGAAGUGGACUCCAGCCACAUCUGUGCUACAGGCCAAAUCUGCUCUUCGCCAUCAUGACGUGGUGGGUCACAUCCAACAGGGCAGAGGAGGAUUUGGUCUUGGAACAGUAACACCUCUGUGGCAACAGGCAUCCGUAACCAAACGUCGGAAAAUGGUGAUGGUGGAGGUGCGUCAACAGGAGGAAACAGCCAGACAUGCCAGAGCCGUAGCGCUGGCCAAGCAGGGUCACUGGAUGAAUUGGGAGAGUGUUGAAAAGAGGAACUCUCAUGGAGUGAAAUCUGAGGAAUGGAGUCUAAUAGACUAAGUUUCAUCAUCUGAGCGACAUACGAUGUGCUACCUUCCCCAAUAAAUCUGCAGCUGUGGUUUGGAAAGGACCCAUCCUGCCCCCUGUGUACAGUCCCAGCAAUACUCAAGCACAUCUUGGUUGGUUGUAGGACUAGCCUUACUCAGGGCAGAGACACAUGGAGACACAACCAGGUCCUCAGGUGUCUAGCCAAGAAAGUUGAGUGCAAGAGAAAAUCCAUCAACACUCAACCUUUCACAAACCAAGAGGAUCGUCGGCCUUCAUCAACAUUUGUCCGGGAGGGAGACAAGCCGAGGACAAGCCCCUCAACCCCGGACCUGGGCCCGCUGAAGGUUGCCAGGGAUUGGUAGAUGCAAGUGGACUUGGAUCAGAGGCUAAUGUUUCCCUCAAACAUCGUAACAACUACUCUGAGACCAGACCUCAUCCUUUGGUCCAACUCCCGAAAACUUGCGUACGUCAUUGAGCUGACGGUACCAUGGGAGGAAGCAAUUGAGCGUAAGAAGCUGCGGUAUGCCAACUUGGCAGCUGAGGCAGAGAACAGAGGCUGGAAGAUCAAGGUGCGCCCAGUGGAAGUGGGGUGCAGGGGCUUUGUUGCCAGUACAACAGCAAAACUGCUUAGAGAGAUUGGGAUCAGAGGACAGCGCAAUGGCAGGCUAUAAGAGAAUUAGCUAACACUGCUGAAAGGACCAGUCACUGGCUAUGGUUAAAAAGGGCUGACAUCACUUUGGCAGCUAAGGCAGUCAGCUAACCGCGGCACACAUGCCCAGGAUGGAUCAUCCCGUGGAGGGCAUGCCUAAGUAGAGGGCUCUUCUUCUCUUUCCUGGGAGGCAGUGGGGAGCGAUAAUAGCUGAACAAGCAGUUUAUCUCCUACCAGGAAGAGGAGAGCUGGACACUUUUAUCAGCGCUCCCUCACAAGAAGAGGGGCCGCGUCCUUCAGAAUCACACACACACACAAAAUACACCUAACAUACGCACAUACAUACGCACCAACAUUCCUCUGUCUAUUCACUAUUGUAUUACUUUUGUAUAUAAAUAAAAACCCGGGCAGUGGCAGAGCGCACAUCGCAGGGCCCCCACUCUGGUGUGAGCGUUCUGUGAUCGCCCUUGCAAGUAAAAACUGCAGCGUGUGUGUCUCCACUCUCUGACUCUCAGCUGAAGAAGUGUCUCUUAGAAUAAAUCUCUUGACAGAGGAGGAACGAGAAAGCACAUUUUCCACCGAGAGGAGCAGCAUCUGAACCAGCAUGCUGAUCAUGAAG
ensembl:lncRNA